rnacentral:rRNA from 1 species
GAUGAACGCUAGCUACAGGCUUAACACAUGCAAGUCGAGGGGAAACGACAUCGAAAGCUUGCUUUCGAUGGGCGUCGACCGGCGCACGGGUGAGUAACGCGUAUCCAACCUGCCCACCACUUGGGGAUAACCUUGCGAAAGUAAGACUAAUACCCAAUGAUAUCUCUAGAAGACAUCUGAAAGAGAUUAAAGAUUUAUCGGUGAUGGAUGGGGAUGCGUCUGAUUAGCUUGUUGGCGGGGUAACGGCUCACCAAGGCUACGAUCAGUAGGGGUUCUGAGGGGAAGGUCCCCCACAUUGGAACUGAGACACGGUCCAAACUCCUACGGGAGGCAGCAGUGAGGAAUAUUGGUCAAUGGACGAGAGUCUGAACCAGCCAAGUAGCGUGCAGGAUGACGGCCCUAUGGGUUGUAAACUGCUUUUAUAAGGGAAUAAAGUGAGUCUCGUGAGACUUUUUGCAUGUACCUUAUGAAUAAGGACCGGCUAAUUCCGUGCCAGCAGCCGCGGUAA